AACGAACGCUGGCGGCGUGCCUAAUACAUGCAAGUCGUACGGACCUUUUAAAAUCUGGCUUUUAAAAGGUUAGCGACGGACGGGUAAUUAACACGUACGCAACCUGCCGGUAAGACUGGGAUAGCGCCGGGAGACCUGGUCUAGUACCGGAUCGGUGUGCCUCCGCAUGGAGGAAACAGGAAAGGCGGCUUCGGCUGCCACUUACAGAGGGGCCCGCGGCGCAUGAGCUAGUUCGCGGGGUGACGGCCCACCAAAGCAACGAUGCGUAGCCGACCUGAGAGGGUGAUCGGCCACAAUGGGAAUGAGACACGGCCCAAACUCCUAAGGGAGGCAGCAGUAGGGAAUCUUCCGAAAUGGAGGAAAGGCCGAAGGAGCAACGCCGGGGGAGUGAAGAAGGCCUUCGGGUCGUAAAAGUCUGUUGCCGGGGAAGAAAAAGUGCCGUUCGAACAGGGCGGUGCCUUGACGGUACCCGGCGAGAAAGCAACGGCUAACUACGUG
rnacentral:rRNA from 1 species